rnacentral:rRNA from 1 species
GACGUAGGGCGCGAGCGUUGUCCGGAUUUAUUGGGCGUAAAGAGCUCGUAGGCGGUUUGUCGCGUCUGCUGUGAAAACUGGAGGCUCAACCUCCAGCCUGCAGUGGGUACGGGCAAACUAGAGUGCGGUAGGGGAGAUUGGAAUUCCUGGUGUAGCGGUGGAAUGCGCAGAUAUCAGGAGGAACACCGAUGGCGAAGGCGGGUCUCUGGGCCGUAACUGACGCUGAGGAGCGAAAGCGUGGGGAGCAAACAGG